UACGUAGGCAGCGAGCGUUGUUCGGAGUUACUGGGCGUAAAGCGUGCGUAGGCGGUGUCUUAAGUUUGUUGUGAAAUCUCCCGGCUUAACCGGGAGGGUGCGGCGAAUACUGAGAUGCUGGGGUGCCGGAGAGGUAAGGCGGAAUUCCUGGUGUAGCGGUGAAAUGCGUAGAUAUCAGGAGGAACACCUGCGGUGUAGACGGCUUACUGGACGGUAACUGACGCUGAGGCACGAAAGCGUGGGUAGCAAACAGG
rnacentral:rRNA from 1 species